AGAUUGAACGCUGGCGGCAGGCCUAACACAUGCAAGUCGAGCGGCAGCACGGGUACUUGUACCUGGUGGCGAGCGGCGGACGGGUGAGUAAUGCCUAGGAAUCUGCCUGGUAGUGGGGGAUAACGCUCGGAAACGGACGCUAAUACCGCAUACGUCCUACGGGAGAAAGCAGGGGACCUUCGGGCCUUGCGCUAUCAGAUGAGCCUAGGUCGGAUUAGCUAGUUGGUGAGGUAAUGGCUCACCAAGGCGACGAUCCGUAACUGGUCUGAGAGGAUGAUCAGUCACACUGGAACUGAGACACGGUCCAGACUCCUACGGGAGGCAGCAGUGGGAAUAUUGGACAAUGGGCGAAAGCCUGAUCCAGCCAUGCCGCGUGUGUGAAGAAGGUCUUCGGAUUGUAAAGCCCGUUUUGUAGGAAAGAAAGCAAGUUCGGUUAAUACCCGGUUGUUACGUGAACGGUACCAAAGUAACUAAGCAACCGCUAACUUCGACG
rnacentral:rRNA from 1 species